AACGAACGCUGGCGGCAUGCCUAACACAUGCAAGUCGAACGAGACCUUCGGGUCUAGUGGCGCACGGGUGCGUAACGCGUGGGAACCUGCCCUUAGGUUCGGAAUAACUCCCCGAAAGGGGUGCUAAUACCGGAUAAUGUCUUCGGACCAAAGAUUUAUCGCCUUUGGAUGGGCCCGCGUUGGAUUAGCUAGUUGGUAGGGUAAAAGCCUACCAAGGCGACGAUCCAUAGCUGGUCUGAGAGGAUGAUCAGCCACACUGGGACUGAGACACGGCCCAGACUCCUACGGGAGGCAGCAGUGGGGAAUAUUGAACAAUGGGCGAAAGCCUGAUCCAGCAAUGCCGCGUGAGUGAUGAAGGCCUUAGGGUUGUAAAGCUCUUUUACCCGGGAUGAUAAUGACAGAACCGGGAGAAUAAGCUCCGGCUAACUCCGUG
rnacentral:rRNA from 1 species